UGUGUCGACGGACAGACACGCCCUUCAAGGAAGAGGGGAACGGACAUCGCAGGAAGCGGUUCAUCAGGACGAUGAAAAGGAAUACAGGGAAUAGGGAAAAAUGUGGGCGGGUCAAACCGCCCCUUUUUUU
rnacentral:sRNA from 1 species